GACCAAGACUCGGAGCAGUUCAUGAAGAGAGAGAAGAGGGGAACAAGGAGAGGCUUAAAAGGAAAAGGGAAAACAGGAAGCGACCAUUCCCAGAGACGGACAGACAGACAAACCCAAGGAGGGUGAAGUCAACUGUCUUCCCGGCCUGUUGGGAGCCCUCCCCUCACUUUGAACUGGGCCAAAGGAGUCCAGCCCACAAGGCGUCUGAGGAAGGGAUGUCUCUGCCCAACUGGAGAAUCUCCCCAAGGGCUCAGCUGGGAAACACCUGUCACUCAACCAGGAGAUUUACUCCAAAUUUCAAGUCCAGCUUUUUAGAAAGUAGAAGACUGUCUACUCCCCAGGUAUGGAGCCCAGGCCCUGAGGCAGGACGAUGAGAAAACCAAGGCACUGAAAGCUGGAAAGGGGCAGACCAGACGCAAACACUGCUUUCUUGACUCCACUCACUACAAGCUGCUUCCUUAAGCCUAAACUUGGCUCUUGCCUCACAGGACUAUCUUGCAGGAACCUAGCAACCCACCUUGCCCCAUCCUAAGGCAGAGGAGGCAGAGAUCACAGACAGCAUUCUCUCCAUUACCUACAGAUGGAGAAUUAAAGCACAGAGAAGGUGCGAGGGACAAUUGUGGUGAUCAUGACAAGACAGCCCUCGGGAUCUGAAUCCACAUCCACCUUGAUGGGUUGAGAGGACUAGAAACCAGAGAACACCCCCAUCUCUAAUGCCGCAAGAGGCCCCUGAUGCAGGAUCUUGCAGGAAUAAGAAGGCUCCAUGGAACGGGACGAGGCAGGAGCAGAGAGGAGCCAUGAUAGUUAACUCUCCCAGUCACCCCACUGAUCAAAACCUUAAGACUUGAGGAUUCUGGUUCCUUGUGCUAGGGGUCUCCAUCUAUCCCCACUCAAGCACAAGAA
rnacentral:sRNA from 1 species